AUGGACGCCAUCCGGAAGCAGCUUGACCAGCUCAUGGGCGCCAACCGCAAUGGCGACGUCCGGGAGGUCAGCCGCAAGUACUACGACCGCGACGUCUGCCGCCUCUUCCUCGCCGGCCUAUGCCCCCACGACCUCUUCCAGCUCACCAAGAUGGACAUGGGUCCGUGUCCUAAGCUGCACUCGUUGCAGCUCCGCAAGGAAUACGAGGAGGCCAAAGCCAAAGGUAUGGACAACUAUGAUCGUGAAUUGGAAGAAACUAUAGAAAGACUGAUAGUUGAGUGCGAGAGAAAGAUUCAAAGAGCCCUUAAGCGUUUGGAGGAGGAAGACGCCAAGGCAGCUAUUGCAAUUUCUAUCACUGAGGUUACACAGAGUAGAGAGGUACUCGAGUUCUCCAAACAAAUUAAGGAGAAGAUGAAGGAGAUAGACACUUUUGACUUUGAUGGAAACACUGAGGGAAAAAUUCGGGCUACUGAAGAGGUUGAUAAACUCAAGGAACAGAGAGCUGAAGAGCAGGCAAAGCUGCUCCUUGAAGCCUUUAAUAAGGACCGUGUUUUGUUAGUGAAUUCUCUCCAAACUGCUACGCAAUCAACAGCACAUGCUGCUCCAGAUGCUCGUACACAAGAAAUGAUUAAUGAAAAGCUCAAAAAAGCAGAGGAAUUAGGUGAGAGUGGGAUGAUUGAUGAAGCACAAAAACUGUUGGAUGAAGCAGAAGCUCUGAAGAAGCUGGGUGCGCGGCCACAGCCUGUUCCUGACUCUGCAAAAAUGUCCACUCACGUUCAAAUUACUGAUCAAAAGUUGCGCCUGUGUGACAUAUGUGGAGCAUUCUUGAGCGUGUAUGACAGUGACCGGCGUUUAGCAGAUCAUUUCGGAGGGAAACUCCAUAUGGGUUAUAUGCUAAUACGUGAGAAGUUGUCUGAACUGCAGGAAGAGAAAAACAAAAGGCGCAAGGUAGACCGAACUGAACAUGACAGAAGAUCCAAGGAAAGGAGCACAGAACGUGAUAGAGCAUCAAGCAGGGACCGUCAUAGAGGAGAUCGAAGCAGCAGUCGUGACAGGCACAGGGAUUAUGACCGUAGAAGUAGCCAUGAUCGCUACCAUGACAGAGAAAGUAGAUAUGACCAUGAUAAAGAAUCAGGGAGAUCUCUUAGCUAUGAUUCGAGGAGCCGCCGAAGGUCACGUUCCCCAAGGGAUAGUUCUAGGGACUAUGACCGACACGGGCGUCGUGACCGUUGA
rnacentral:rRNA from 1 species